GACUCGACUCUCAUCACCGAGGCCGGGGCGUAUCAAUAAUAAUGGGCAAUGGGAAGUGGUUUUUUCAUUACAUCAUUUAGUUUUUUGUAAUCGAUGCAUACUCUUCAACCAGUAACUGUUCCUGUUGGAAUUAAAUCAUUUUUACUAUUCUCGACUACAGUUAAACCUCCCUUCUUCUAAACACACUUGGUGGGGCUAACCCAUUCACUAUCAAAGAUAGCAUAAACAAUACUUGCAUAUAACCAUUUAAG
rnacentral:lncRNA from 1 species